AUACCUUUCUCGGCCUUUUGGCUAAGAUCAAGUGUAGUAUCUGUUCUUAUCAGUUUAAUAUCUGAUAUGUGGGUUAUCGAUCCACCAUGAUAUUAAAUUAAUUUCUUGUGGGGGGAGGGUUCACCGUAGUGGCUUGCUACUAGGACCCUCACGCGUCGCCCAUGCAUUGCACUGUUGCAUGGGCCUGGCACGCCCCAA